UAGGGGAGCGAAAGGGAUUAGAUACCCCUGUAGUCCUAGCUGUAAACGAUGGACACUAGGUGUUGGCCGUAUCGACCCGGUCAGUAUCGAAGCAAACGCGUUAAGUGUCCCGCCUGGGGAGUACGCACGCAAGUGUGAAACUCAAAGGAAUUGACGGGGGCCCGCACAAGCGGUGGAGUAUGUGGUUUAAUUCGAUGCAACGCGAAGAACCUUACCAGGGAUUGACAUCCUACGAAUCUUCUUGAAAGGGAAGAGUGCCUUCGGGAACGUAGAGACAGGUGGUGCAUGGCUGUCGUCAGCUCGUGUCGUGAGAUGUUGGGUUAAGUCCCGCAACGAGCGCAACCCUCGUCCUUAGUUGCCAUCAUUAAGUUGGGCACUUUAAGGAGACUGCCGGUGACAAACCGGAGGAAGGUGGGGAUGACGUCAAGUCAUCAUGCCCCUUACAUCCUGGGCUACACACGUACUACAAUGCAACGGACAAAGGGCAGCCAACUAGCGAUAGUGCGCAAAUCCCAUAAACCGUUGCUCAGUUCAGAUUGCAGGCUGCAACUCGCCUGCAUGAAGGCGGAAUCGCUAGUAAUCGCAGGUCAGCAUACUGCGGUGAAUACGUUCCCGGGCCUUGUACACACCGCCCGUCACACCAUGGAAGUUGGCCACGCCCGAAGUCGUUACCCCAACCGUUUACGGAGGGGGACGCCGAAGGCAGGGCUGAUGACUGGGGUGAAGUCGUAACAAGGUAACC
rnacentral:rRNA from 1 species